rnacentral:pre_miRNA from 1 species
AAUUGAGAGUCAGAGUGAUGAUGAUGAUGAUGAUGAUGAUGAUAAAAAUAAUCAUCAUCAUCAUCAUCAUCAUAAUUAUUAUUAUUA